rnacentral:rRNA from 1 species
UACAGAGGGUGCGAGCGUUAAUCGGAAUUACUGGGCGUAAAGCGCACGUAGGUGGCUUUGCAAGUCGAUUGUGAAAUCCCCGGGCUUAACCUGGGAACUGCACUUGUGACUGUACGACUGGAGUACGGCAGAGGGGGAUGGAAUUCCGCGUGUAGCAGUGAAAUGCGUAGAUAUGCGGAGGAACACCGAUGGCGAAGGCAAUCCCCUGGGCCUGUACUGACGCUCAUGCACGAAAGCGUGGGGAGCAAACAGG